rfam:Ornithorhynchus anatinus chromosome 12, whole genome shotgun sequence.
AGCGGCGUGGCUCAGUGGAAAGAGCCCGGGCUUGGGAGUCAGAGGUCACGGGCUCGAAUCCCGACUCUGCCA